GCGGCAGGCCUAACACAUGCAAGUCGAGGGGUAACAGGGGAGCUUGCUCCCGCUGACGACCGGCGCACGGGUGAGUAACGCGUAUGCAACCUACCCUUAACUGGGGGAUAGCCCGAAGAAAUUCGGAUUAAUACCCCAUAAUAUUUUUCUAAUGCAUAUUAUUAUCCUUAAAGUUCUGGUGGUUAAGGAUGGGCAUGCGUGACAUUAGAUAGUUGGUGAGGUAACGGCUCACCAAGUCUACGAUGUCUAGGGGGCCUGAGAGGGUAGUCCCCCACACUGGUACUGAGACACGGACCAGACUCCUACGGGAGGCAGCAGUGAGGAAUAUUGGGCAAUGGACGCAAGUCUGACCCAGCCAUGCCGCGUGCAGGAUGACUGCCCUAUGGGUUGUAAACUGCUUUUAUACGGGAAGAAACCCCUGAACGUGUUCAGGGCUGACGGUACCGUAAGAAUAAGCAUCGGCUAACUCCGUGCCAGCAGCCGCGGUAAUACGGAGGAUGCAAGCGUUAUCCGGAUUUAUUAGGUUUAAAGGGUGUGUAGGCGGGCUAAUAAGUCAGUGGUGAAAUCUGCAGCUUAACUGUAGAAUUGCCAUUGAAACUGUUAUUCUUGAGUAUAGUUGAGGUGGGCGGAAUGUGUAAUGUAGCGGUGAAAUGCAUAGAUAUUACACAGAACACCGAUUGCGAAGGCAGCUCACUAAACUAUAACUGACGCUAAUGCACGAAAGCGUGGGGAGCGAACAGGAUUAGAUACCCUGGUAGUCCACGCCGUAAACGAUGAUUACUCGUUGUGCGCGAUACACUGCGCGUGACUGAGCGAAAGCAUUAAGUAAUCCACCUGGGGAGUACGUUGGCAACAAUGAAACUCAAAGGAAUUGACGGGGGCCCGCACAAGCGGAGGAACAUGUGGUUUAAUUCGAUGAUACGCGAGGAACCUUACCUGGGCUUAAAUGUAGAGUGCAUAAACGGGAAACUGUUUUUUCCUUCGGGACUUUUUACAAGGUGCUGCAUGGUUGUCGUCAGCUCGUGCCGUGAGGUGUCGGGUUAAGUCCCAUAACGAGCGCAACCCCUAUCGUUAGUUGCCAGCGAUUCAAGUCGGGGACUCUAACGAGACUGCCGGUGUAAACCGCGAGGAAGGUGGGGAUGACGUCAAAUCAGCACGGCCCUUACGUCCAGGGCUACACACGUGUUACAAUGGCCGAUACAAAGGGCAGCUACCAGGUGACUGGAUGCUAAUCUCGAAAGUCGGUCUUAGUUCGGAUCGAAGUCUGCAACUCGACUUCGUGAAGCUGGAUUCGCUAGUAAUCGUAGAUCAGCAACGCUACGGUGAAUACGUUCCCGGGCCUUGUACACACCGCCCGUCAAGCCAUGGAAGCUGGGGGUACCUUAGGCCGGUAACCGCA
rnacentral:rRNA from 1 species